rnacentral:rRNA from 1 species
UUAAGUAAAGGAAUUCGGCAAAUUAUUUUUUACCUGUUUAUUAAAAACAUGUCCUUUUGAUUAUAAUAUAAGGUCUGGCCUGCCCACUGAGUAUUUGAAUGGCCGUGGUAUUUUGACCGUGCUAAGGUAGCAUAAUCAUUAGUUUUUUAAUUAAAAACUGGAAUGAAGGGUUAGAUAAGAAAAUAACUGUCUCUAUUUAAAUUUAUUAGAAUUUUAUUUUUAAGUUAAAAAGCUUAAUUAUUAUUAAAAGACGAGAAGACCCUAUAGAGUUUAAUUAUAGAAUAUAUUUUUUAUUUUAGUAUUUAUUUAUUAAUUUUUUUUAUAAUUUAAUUGGGGUGAUUAAAAAAUUUAGUAAACUUUUUUUGUAUUUUAACAUUAAUUUAUGAGUUAUUGAUCCAAUAGUUUUGAUUAUAAGAUAAAAUUACCUUAGGGAUAACAGCGUAAUUUUUUUAGAAAGUUCAAAUUGAAAAAAAAGAUUGCGACCUCGAUGUUGGAUUAAAAUUAAUUUUUGGUGUAGAAGCUAAAAAAUUGGGUCUGUUCGACCUUUAAAAUUUUACAUGAUCUGAGUUUAAACCGGUGUGAGCCAGGUUGGUUUCUAUCUUUAAUUAGUUAAAAUAUUUUAGUACGAAAGGACCAAAUAUU